CGUUGCCGGUGUAGAGUUAUGAAUGGAGGACGAGGUGAUCGUGGAACCUAUGAAUUCGUUGACCUCUCAGAGUGACGAUUUCAUUCAGAUUGUUGAGGUCAAGGCAAAGAAUUUGAUAUAGAUUUUGUUAAGUUGAUUUGAUAUAUUAUUAAGGGGCAAGAUCCUUGAGGUACUGAAAAAUUGGCCUGAGAGGAGUACUCAAGUUAUUGUUGUCAUAGAUGGCGAGCGAAUUUUAGGACUCAGAGACCUUGGAUGUCAGGAAUAUUCUGAACUUCUGAGUGAGUUCAUGGCUGCUGUAAAGCAAAACUAUGGGAAAAAAGUUCUUGUGCAGUUUGAAGAAUUUGCAAAUCACAAUGCUUUCGAGUUGCUUGCGAAAUACGGCACAUCUCAUCUAGUCUUCAAUGAUGAUAUUUAGGGGACUGCAUCUGUUGUUCUUGCCGGGGUCGUGGCAGCAUUGAAGCUGAUUGGUGGAACUUUGGCCGACCACACUUUCCUGUUCCUCGGUGCCGGUGAGGUAACA